CCCAGGCCUUCUUGUCCUCUCAACCCUUUCACCGAAAUGCGACUGUGACUGAAAAAUCAGCAACACCAACCAUUAAUUCCCAGUCGGCAUCGUUGACCAGAACCAGGAUACCAGGCCUCCUAGAGAGAGAAAAAGACAAGGGAGCAAACAGCAGCAAGGGACUGACCAAGCGACAAUGUGGGUUCCUCGUUUGGUGAUAAGUCGAUGUUGAGACAAUGUGAACUGGGAGGUGGAAUAGAGAGAUCUGACCUGUAAGACCACUCGCAGUCUAGAGUCAUGGGGACCUGUCAUCACAUCACCUUUCAUGGGGAACAGCGAUGGACAGCAGUUUAAGGCAUGUCAUCUUAAAGGUUCUCACUUCCUGUUAAACAGUGAGCUGAGAGGCAGAGUGAUGUACUUGGAGGCUUCCCCGAAGUAAGAUGCACUCGGAGGGGCGAGGAAAUGUAUCGGUUUUCCUAUUUCUUUGGCUACAUUCUCCUUGAGGAAAAGUUCUUAAGGAGACUUUUGAAAUGAAUGAAGGAGGACACCAAACCUAUUGUCUCUGUCUCGUACGCACACAUACACACCAUGGACCACUGGAAAACCUUACGCUUAUAUUCCUGAACAACAAGCAGGACAAGAGAAACAAAUGCAAAAUCCCUCUCACAGGCCAAGACGAGAACAGCUGAGAUCACGGAUCAAAUCUACUCCCUUUUCCAAGUCUGUAUGGUUCUUCACAUUCAUCAACUGAACCACUGGGCUGAUCACAGAUCAACUUUAUACUGUUGUAAACAUUAAUUUUAGAAAUAUAAACGUUAUUUCAUAGCA